GUCACUCAUAAGCGUGCUGAACGGUUUAACAUCUCUGGGACAACAUGUCACUGAAGGAAUGUCUGGAAUGGACUCACUUUUUUUUAACUUUUGUUCACUUACGAGAAUCAGAGUCUUUGAGUAUUUUAUCCCACAUUUUUACGAAUUUAUUAUUUACAGAUCAUAAACCGACAAAAAAGGACAUGGAACGGACUGAUUCCAGCGAUAGGUGUUACAAUUAGCUGCUGGAUUCAGGUCUUCUCUAGAAAGGAGGUUCAACCGGUCCACCUGCCUCCGCUGCCUCAGGCCAACGCCAGCUAUGCACUUUUCAAAAUGAAAGCAUGAACGUUCUGCGUGGGCGAAAGAAAAGCCACGCACCUUCUUUGACGAGGUCGAACACUUCGCUGACAUCAAAGCUGAUCUCGUCCGUGUCCUGGCCGACGUACUGAUAUAUCGCCCGGCAGCGGGGCCCCUGGGGCCGAGGCUGUGGUUUAGGAGCAGGAGGAGGUCGCUGACUAAUGCUCCUUUUCCUCUGCUUCCUGUGACAAAGAGAGAGAAAUGUGACAAAGGGAUAAAAGGAGCUGAUGAGGAGUCAAAGACUCGUAAAGCUUCUUUUAGGCUAAAUGGUCAGACAGGGAAAGUCAAACCACAGAGAGCCCCUUUAGGCCUUUCCAGAAACUAGGGGAACAGCAGCUCACCUACAGUUGGCAUCAGGACUUUCUAUAAACAGGUUUAUCUCUCUCACACUAUUCAACAUGCAUUCAUUUAUUUGGGUGUGGAGCCUCACCCUGAUGUGUCUUAACAACUCGAAAAGCUUGUGUGCACUCAUUUUUUUGUGACUAAUCUGCUCCACCCACAUAUGCCAUAAUCAUCCCUUCCUUC